UUAAGCGACUAAGCGUACACGGUGGAUGCCCUGGCAGUCAGAGGCGAUGAAGGACGUGCUAAUCUGCGAAAAGCGUCGGUAAGGUGAUAUGAACCGUUAUAGCCGGCGAUGUCCGAAUGGGGAAACCCAGUGCAAUUCGUUGCACUAUCGUUAACUGAAUACAUAGGUUAACGAGGCGAACCGGGGGAACUGAAACAUCUAAGUACCCCGAGGAAAAGAAAUCAACCGAGAUUCCCCCAGUAGCGGCGAGCGAACGGGGAGCAGCCCAGAGUCUGAAUCAGCUUGUGUGUUAGUGGAACGGUCUGGAAAGUCCGACGGUACAGGGUGAUAGUCCCGUACACCAAAAUGCACAGGCUGUGAACUCGAAGAGUAGGGCGGGACACGUGGUAUCCUGUCUGAAUAUGGGGGGACCAUCCUCCAAGGCUAAAUACUCCUGACUGACCGAUAGUGAACCAGUACCGUGAGGGAAAGGCGAAAAGAACCCCGGCGAGGGGAGUGAAAAAGAACCUGAAACCGUGUACGUACAAGCAGUGGGAGCACCUUCGGGUGUGACUGCGUACCUUUUGUAUAAUGGGUCAGCGACUUAUAUUCUGUAGCAAGGUUAACCGUAUAGGGGAGCCGCAGGGAAACCGAGUCUUAACUGGGCGUUAAGUUGCAGGGUAUAGACCCGAAACCCGGUGAUCUAGCCAUGGGCAGGUUGAAGGUUGGGUAACACUAACUGGAGGACCGAACCGACUAAUGUUGAAAAAUUAGCGGAUGACUUGUGGCUGGGGGUGAAAGGCCAAUCAAACCGGGAGAUAGCUGGUUCUCCCCGAAAGCUAUUUAGGUAGCGCCUCGUGAACUCAUCUUCGGGGGUAGAGCACUGUUUCGGCUAGGGGGUCAUCCCGACUUACCAACCCGAUGCAAACUACGAAUACCGAAGAAUGUUAUCACGGGAGACACACGGCGGGUGCUAACGUCCGUCGUGAAGAGGGAAACAACCCAGACCGCCAGCUAAGGUCCCAAAGUCAUGGUUAAGUGGGAAACGAUGUGGGAAGGCACAGACAGCCAGGAUGUUGGCUUAGAAGCAGCCAUCAUUUAAAGAAAGCGUAAUAGCUCACUGGUCGAGUCGGCCUGCGCGGAAGAUGUAACGGGGCUAAACCAUGCACCGAAGCUGCGGCAGCGACACUAUGUGUUGUUGGGUAGGGGAGCGUUCUGUAAGCCUGCGAAGGUGUGCUGUGAGGCAUGCUGGAGGUAUCAGAAGUGCGAAUGCUGACAUAAGUAACGAUAAAGCGGGUGAAAAGCCCGCUCGCCGGAAGACCAAGGGUUCCUGUCCAACGUUAAUCGGGGCAGGGUGAGUCGACCCCUAAGGCGAGGCCGAAAGGCGUAGUCGAUGGGAAACAGGUUAAUAUUCCUGUACUUGGUGUUACUGCGAAGGGGGGACGGAGAAGGCUAUGUUAGCCGGGCGACGGUUGUCCCGGUUUAAGCAUGUAGGCUGAUUGUCCAGGCAAAUCCGGAUAAUCAAGGCUGAGGUGUGAUGACGAGGCACUACGGUGCUGAAGUAACAAAUGCCCUGCUUCCAGGAAAAGCCUCUAAGCAUCAGGUAACAUUAAAUCGUACCCCAAACCGACACAGGUGGUCAGGUAGAGAAUACCAAGGCGCUUGAGAGAACUCGGGUGAAGGAACUAGGCAAAAUGGUGCCGUAACUUCGGGAGAAGGCACGCUGGUGUGUAGGUGAAGCCCCUGCGGGUGGAGCUGAGACCAGUCGAAGAUACCAGCUGGCUGCAACUGUUUAUUAAAAACACAGCACUGUGCAAACACGAAAGUGGACGUAUACGGUGUGACGCCUGCCCGGUGCCGGAAGGUUAAUUGAUGGGGUUAUCCGUAAGGAGAAGCUCUUGAUCGAAGCCCCGGUAAACGGCGGCCGUAACUAUAACGGUCCUAAGGUAGCGAAAUUCCUUGUCGGGUAAGUUCCGACCUGCACGAAUGGCGUAAUGAUGGCCAGGCUGUCUCCACCCGAGACUCAGUGAAAUUGAACUCGCUGUGAAGAUGCAGUGUACCCGCGGCAAGACGGAAAGACCCCGUGAACCUUUACUAUAGCUUGACACUGAACAUUGAGCCUUGAUGUGUAGGAUAGGUGGGAGGCUUUGAAGCGUGGACGCCAGUCUGCGUGGAGCCAACCUUGAAAUACCACCCUUUAAUGUUUGAUGUUCUAACGUUGGCCCCUUACCGGGGUUGCGGACAGUGUCUGGUGGGUAGUUUGACUGGGGCGGUCUCCUCCCAAAGCGUAACGGAGGAGCACGAAGGUUAGCUAAUCCUGGUCGGACAUCAGGAGGUUAGUGCAAUGGCAUAAGCUAGCUUGACUGCGAGCGUGACGGCGCGAGCAGGUGCGAAAGCAGGUCAUAGUGAUCCGGUGGUUCUGAAUGGAAGGGCCAUCGCUCAACGGAUAAAAGGUACUCCGGGGAUAACAGGCUGAUACCGCCCAAGAGUUCAUAUCGACGGCGGUGUUUGGCACCUCGAUGUCGGCUCAUCACAUCCUGGGGCUGAAGUAGGUCCCAAGGGUAUGGCUGUUCGCCAUUUAAAGUGGUACGCGAGCUGGGUUUAGAACGUCGUGAGACAGUUCGGUCCCUAUCUGCCGUGGGCGCUGGAGAAUUGAGGGGGGCUGCUCCUAGUACGAGAGGACCGGAGUGGACGCAUCACUGGUGUUCGGGUUGUCAUGCCAAUGGCACUGCCCGGUAGCUAAAUGCGGAAGAGAUAAGUGCUGAAAGCAUCUAAGCACGAAACUUGCCCCGAGAUGAGUUCUCCCUGAGACUUUAAGUCUCCUGAAGGAACGUUAAAGACGAUGACGUUGAUAGGCCGGGUGUGUAAGCGCAGCGAUGCGUUGAGCUAACCGGUACUAAUGAACCGUGAGGCUUAACCUU
rnacentral:rRNA from 1 species